UAACACGUGGGGAACCUGCCCCAUAGUCUGGGAUACCAUUUGGAAACAGGUGCUAAUACCGGAUAAUAAAGCAGAUCGCAUGAUCAGCUUUUGAAAGGCGGCGUAAGCUGUCGCUAAGGGAUGGCCCCGCGGUGCAUUAGCUAGUUGGUAAGGUAACGGCUUACCAAGGCGACGAUGCAUAGCCGAGUUGAGAGACUGAUCGGCCACAUUGGGACUGAGACACGGCCCAAACUCCUACGGGAGGCAGCAGGC
rnacentral:rRNA from 1 species